rnacentral:rRNA from 1 species
AUGCAAGUCAGACGGAAUGUAGUAAUACAUUCAGUGGCGAACGGGUGAGUAACGCGUGGAUAAUCUACCUACGAGAUGGGGAUAACUAUUAGAAAUAGUAGCUAAUACCGAAUAAAGUCAAUUAAGAUGUUAGUUGAUGAAAGGAAGCCUUUAAAGCUUCGCUUGUAGAUGAGUCUGCGUCUUAUUAGCUAGUUGGUGGGGUAAGAGCCCACCAAGGCUAUGAUAAGUAACCGGCCUGAGAGGGUGAUCGGUCACACUGGAACUGAGAUACGGUCCAGACUCCUACGGGAGGCAGCAGCUAAGAAUCUUCCGCAAUGGGCGAAAGCCUGACGGAGCGACACUGCGUGAACGAAGAAGGUCGAAAGAUUGUAAAGUUCUUUUAUAAGUGAGGAAUAAGCUUUGUAGGAAAUGACAAAGCGAUGACGUUAAUUUAUGAAUAAGCCCCGGCUAAUUACGUGCCAGCAGCCGCGGUAAUACGUAAGGGGCGAGCGUUGUUCGGGAUCAUUGGGCGUAAAGGGUGAGUAGGCGGAUAUGCAAGUCUAUGUGUAAAAUACCACAGCUCAACUGUGGAACUAUGCUGGAAACUGCAUGACUAGAGUCUGAUAGGGGAAGUUAGAAUUCCUGGUGUAAGGGUGGAAUCUGUUGAUAUCAGGAAGAAUACCAGAGGCGAAGGCGAACUUCUAGGUCGAGACUGACGCUGAGUCACGAAAGCGUAGGGAGCAAACAGGAUUAGAUACCCUGGUAGUCUACGCUGUAAACGAUGCACACUUGGUGUUAAUCGAAAGGUUAGUACCGAAGCUAACGUGUUAAGUGUGCCGCCUGGGGAGUAUGUUCGCAAGAAUGAAACUCAAAGGAAUUGACGGGGGCCCGCACAAGCGGUGGAGCAUGUGGUUUAAUUCGAUGAUACGCGAGGAACCUUACCAGGGCUUGACAUAUACAGGAUAUAGUUAGAGAUAACUAUUCCCCGUUUGGGGUCUGUAUACAGGUGCUGCAUGGUUGUCGUCAGCUCGUGCCGUGAGGUGUUGGGUUAAGUCCCGCAACGAGCGCAACCCUUGUUGUCUGUUACCAGCAUGUAAAGAUGGGGACUCAGACGAGACUGCCGGUGAUAAGCCGGAGGAAGGUGAGGAUGACGUCAAAUCAUCAUGGCCCUUAUGUCCUGGGCUACACACGUGCUACAAUGGCCUGUACAAAGCGAUGCGAAACAGUGAUGUGAAGCAAAACGCAGAAAGCAGGUCUCAGUCCAGAUUGAAGUCUGAAACUCGGCUUCAUGAAGUUGGAAUCGCUAGUAAUCGUAUAUCAGAAUGAUACGGUGAAUACGUUCUCGGGCCUUGUACACACCGCCCGUCACACCACCC